rnacentral:rRNA from 1 species
AAUCAACGCUGGCGGCGUGCCUAACACAUGCAAGUCGAGCGAGAAAAGGGGAGCAAUCCCCUGAGUACAGCGGCGCACGGGUGAGUAACACGUGGGUAAUCUGCCCUGGAGUGGGGAAUAACACCGGGAAACCGGUGCUAAUACCGCAUACGAUCACAGAGUCUGCGGAUUUUGUGAUGAAAGGAGCAAUUCGCUCUAGGAGGAGCCCGCGGCUGAUUAGCUAGUUGGUGAGGUAACGGCUCACCAAGGCAACGAUCAGUAUCCGGUCUGAGAGGACGGUCGGACACACUGGAACUGAGACACGGUCCAGACUCCUACGGGAGGCAGCAGUGGGGAAUUUUUGGCAAUGGGGGCAACCCUGACCAAGCAACGCCGCGUGGGUGAUGAAGUCUCUUGGGACGUAAAACCCUUUCGACGGGGACGAAACCGCAAGGUUGACGGUACCCGUAGAAGAAGCCCCGGCUAACUCCGUGCCAGCAGCCGCGGUAAUAC